AUCAGGAAAACAACGUGCUGAUUCCUGAGCCUCAGAAAACUGAGAAGUAGGCAGGGCUAUACCAUUUUCUCUGCACUUUAUGAGCAUAAUAAUUCUUCAAAGGACUGGCUGCAUCUACAAAUACCUACUAAAUGGAAACCGUCAAAUCAAAUGGGAGGCUCACAGCAGAUGCCAACUCCACCGAGCGGAUCUGGGCCAGGGUGAAGAAACGGAACUGCAGAGAGGUUAAGCCACCUGGGGCAGGAACUAGGAUGGAAAUCCAGGCAGUCUUGUUGCUGAGACCAUCUCCAUAAUCCUCUGCUAAACUUCUUCCUACCGAGAAAGACAUGUUCUGGGAGAGCAAGGGCUAAGAGGCUGCUCCUUGAUUCCCCCUGAGUGCCCGCCCUCCAGCCCUCACUCCAGUGAGGGGCCUGACCUGAAACAGCUGUCUGCCCUUGCCAGGCUCAGAGAGUCUCACACUGUCACCAGGCUGGCGUGUAGUGGCGCAAUCUCGGCUCACUGCAACUUCCACCUCCCGGAUUCAAGCAAUUCUUCUGCCUCAGCCUCCUGAGUAGCUGGGACUACAGAACAGAAGCUAAAGCAGAAAGAAGUUUAAUGGAGACCUGGAAGCCUCUCCGUAAAGACUCUGGGGCAGGAAUGGGAUCUGUUUGCAGGGCUCAGGGAGGACCCACGGCUCCUGUGGAGGCUUACGCGGCACCUGAGAAGUGAUCAGUCAGGAAGAGCUACCUGGAGUACCUGAGCCCAACCAGAUAUUCUUUUCCCCGCCGUCUUCCCCGGGAUCCAGCAAUUUAUAUUCCCUACCUCAGGAAAUCUUGGAAAAGUUAUUCCAGCAGAAUGAAGCAAUGUACUAUUCCAGCAGAACAUAGUCAGGACCUGGUGACGUGGGGGUUUGGCAAUGAUCAAUGACCCUGGUGUCAUACUCUAAAUUUGUUUCAAAAGUGGCAGCAGGGGAGAAGGAGGCAGUGAAAUCAAUACUUGAAGUUUGUCUUGAUUGGAUGGGGUGUGUGUUUUCUUUUCCACCCUAGUUGUUGUUGAAGCUGUUUACCAAAAGGCUGUGCAAAUAGGAUUAGUCAGCUCCAGGGCCAUUAAUAACCCGCUGGACAGAGCUGGCUCCAUUCCAAUUGAUUUUUGAAUUUUUGAAGCUGUCCAUUUUUUUGGAGCAGAGAUGAAAGCCCCAGAGGGGCUGGUAUGAAAGCAUGAGAUUUUUGCCUGUACUGGGGCUGAUCCCACAGAUGCAGGAGAUGAAACGUUCUUCCAGUGCCAUUUGCUUUCCAUCUGAAUGAGGCAGGUCCUGCGGCAGCUCUGAAGAGGCAGGGGCCAUCACAAACGAAUAUUGCAGCAGGUCAAGGGGACACUGCUAUUGUGUGCACACUGAUGGAGACCCAGAGUAAAACGUGGCCUGAGGUUUGCCAGAAUGUGCUUAAGAAGCAAACCUCACAUACCUGAAACUCUCUUCGUGCCCUCCUGUCCUUCCAAAAACUAUCAGUUCGAAUAUCCUGAGAAAUGUCACAUAGGUAAGCUGUAGGACCAUCCUUGAGAGGUUGCUGUUGGUAAAAACCAAUGGGGCCAGAAAACAUGAAUUUAUAUCCCAGCACUCUGGGCUAUAACUUUGAGCAAAUUAAUCUCUCUGAUAUUCUAUUAUAGCAAUUGUGAAUUGACAAUGUCAUCAUAGCCCAUUUCUUAUUUCUGAAAAAGUGCUUUUUCUGGAUCUCAUUCACUUAAGAACUCAAAUUCUAAACAUGGAGACCAUCAGAGCCAAGGUCCUUGUUAAAAGAAAUGUAUGUUUUAUAUAUUAAAGUUUAAAAGAAAUAUACAUAUA